rnacentral:rRNA from 1 species
GACGAACGCUGGCGGCGUGCCUAACACAUGCAAGUCGAGCGGGGUCCAUCCGGUAGCAAUACCGGGGAAGACCUAGCGGCGAACGGGUGAGUAACACGUGAGAAACCUGCCCCGAAGUCUGGGAUAACCCGAGGAAACUCGAGCUAAUACCGGAUGUCUUCUUCUGAUCGCAUGGUCGGAUGAAGAAAAGAUUUAUCGCUUCGGGAGGGUCUCGCGGCCUAUCAGCUAGUUGGCGGGGUAACGGCCCACCAAGGCGUCGACGGGUAGGCUGGUCUGAGAGGACGAUCAGCCACACUGGGACGUGAGACACGGCCCAGACUCCUACGGGAGGCAGCAGUGGGGAAGUAUUGCGCAAUGGGC